rnacentral:siRNA from 1 species
CUGGAGCCAGAUCCAAGGUGCU